rnacentral:rRNA from 1 species
UACGCACGCUGGCGGCGUGCUUAACACAUGCAAGUCGAACGGAAAGGCCCUGCUUGCAGGGUGCUCGAGUGGCGAACGGGUGAGUAACACGUGGGUGAUCUGCCCCUUACUUUGGGAUAAGCCUGGGAAACUGGGUCUAAUACUGGAUAGGACCAUGCUGUAGGUGGUGUGGUGGAAAGAUUAGUUUCGGUAAGGGAUGAGCUCGCGGCCUAUCAGCUUGUUGGUGGGGUAAUGGCCUACCAAGGCGUCGACGGGUAGCCGGCCUGAGAGGGUGGACGGCCACAUUGGGACUGAGAUACGGCCCAGACUCCUACGGGAGGCAGCAGUGGGGAAUAUUGCACAAUGGGCGCAAGCCUGAUGCAGCGACGCCGCGUGGGGGAUGACGGCCUUCGGGUUUUAAACUCCUUUCAGCCAUGACGAAGCCCUUGUGGUGACGGUAGUGGUAGAAGAAGCACCGGCUAACUACGUG